rnacentral:rRNA from 1 species
CUUACCUACUCUUGACAUCCAGAGAACUUAGCAGAGAUGCUUUGGUGCCUUCGGGAACCGUGAGACAGGUGCUGCAUGGCUGUCGUCAGCUCGUGUUGUGAAAUGUUGGGUUAAGUCCCGCAACGAGCGCAACCCUUAUCCUUUGUUGCCAGCGGUCCGGCCGGGAACUCAAAGGAGACUGCCAGUGAUAAACUGGAGGAAGGUGGGGAUGACGUCAAGUCAUCAUGGCCCUUACGAGUAGGGCUACACACGUGCUACAAUGGCAUAUACAAAGAGAAGCGACCUCGCGAGAGCAAGCGGACCUCAUAAAGUUUUUCGUAGUCCGGAUUGGAGUCUGCAACUCGACUCCAUGAAGUCGGAAUCGCUAGUAAUCGU